rnacentral:rRNA from 2 species
UGCUAGAAGAUGACGAGUGGCGGACGGGUGAGUAAUGCUUGGGAACUUGCCUUUGCGAGGGGGAUAACAGUUGGAAACGACUGCUAAUACCGCAUAAUGUCUUCGGACCAAACGGGGCUUCGGCUCCGGCGCAAAGAGAGGCCCAAGUGAGAUUAGCUAGUUGGUAAGGUAACGGCUUACCAAGGCGACGAUCUCUAGCUGUUCUGAGAGGAAGAUCAGCCACACUGGGACUGAGACACGGCCCAGACUCCUACGGGAGGCAGCAGUGGGGAAUAUUGCACAAUGGGGGAAACCCUGAUGCAGCCAUGCCGCGUGUGUGAAGAAGGCCUUCGGGUUGUAAAGCACUUUCAGUUGUGAGGAAAAGUUAGUAGUUAAUACCUGCUAACCGUGACGUUAACAACAGAAGAAGCACCGGCUAACUCCGUGCCAGCAGCCGCGGUAAUACGGAGGGUGCGAGCGUUAAUCGGAAUUACUGGGCGUAAAGCGCACGCAGGCGGUUUGUUAAGCUAGAUGUGAAAGCCCCGGGCUCAACCUGGGAUGGUCAUUUAGAACUGGCAGACUAGAGUCUUGGAGAGGGGAGUGGAAUUCCAGGUGUAGCGGUGAAAUGCGUAGAUAUCUGGAGGAACAUCAGUGGCGAAGGCGACUCCCUGGCCAAAGACUGACGCUCAUGUGCGAAAGUGUGGGUAGCGAACAGGAUUAGAUACCCUGGUAGUCCACACCGUAAACGCUGUCUACUAGCUGUGUGUGUCUUU